GGGCACUGAGGUAUGAAACUGCAUAAAAACAUAGUCCUUUCGGGAACAGGGAGGGAUUCGCGGAGGCAAGUUAGGAUCAGUCUGGUAUGCAAGAUCUAGGGAACGCCCCGAAGGGGAGAGAAACAUGGUCAUCUGGGUAAUAUUACGUAAGACUGUAUUAAAUCCAGAGAAUACACGAGAGAUCCUUUAGGUCAGGGGUUUUCUAAUAUUUGGCUGCAUAAGAAUCACGGGGCAGGUGAGUGCGGCAUAUUAAAAUACAUUGCUGAACCUCACCCCAGACCUUCUAAGGUAGGGGGUACCAGACCUGUGCGUUUUUAACAAGCAUGCCAAGUAACUCGGAUAUUGGUGAUUCUCAGACAGCACUUACAGACAUGUUUUAGGCUAUAAUAGUUCCUGGUAAGAGAAAAUGAGGGUUUGAUGUAAAUAAAUAAAUAAAUAAAUGCCUUUAAAAUUAAAUAUUAGCAAAUGAAUUUCAGCAAUAUAUUAAACUAAAGCCACACAGACAAGUAGAUUUUACCCCAGGUAUGGAAGGAUGAGUCGAAAUUCGGGCAUUAAUUAAUUCAAUAAAUAUUUGUUAUGAUAGUUUAGCCAAAAUAGACAUAGUUCGUGGAGCUUAUAGUCUAGUUGGGAACACAAUCAAGCAAUCACACAAGCAAAUGUAAAAGUGCGGCAGUAAUGGUGCUGCUAAGGAAUAUGCUAAUGGGGGAGCAGAUCAUCAGUCAAUGAGUGGGAACUCUUCACUAGGGUAAUGACAAGAGUUGAACUAUAUCAGAAGAAUCAGCAAGUGAAGAAGGAAGACACAGGGUGGCCAAAGCACUAAGAGCAAAGGGUAGUGUGGUGUGGGAUGAAGCUGGAGAGCAGCCAAAGACUUCUGCUUUGGCGGUCAAAGGAGUUGUGCUUUGCCCUGGUAUGGCUUUCUGCGUGUGUGAACUGCGAUGGAUCAAGAACUAACAUUCAAAAAUGAAACUCGAAAACCCUGAGCAGAAAAUACAGUUGAAGAAACUAAGCCACUGAGCUCAAAUACUAACUUCAGGGUUGAAGAUGAAAUCGACUGAGGAGGAAAGUCUAGGUCUUCAACAACCUGUGUGCCAGACCAGAAGUGGCACUGUGAAAACCUUCAUUAACUUCUGCUGCAUAAUUCCCUAAAAAUCAAGUGGGCUUGGAGUUUGACAUUUCACAGUUAAAAGCUGAUAGGACUAUAAAGGCAACUACUUGAUCUUUGACCAAGAUUUGAUCCUGAAUUACAUGUAUGUGUGUCUGUAGUUUCCCACAACAAUAGACACAGUAGUCACUAAGUAAAUUGGGAUAGAACUGAGUAAACUUGAGAGGUAAUUGAAUCUUAAAAUGGAAAUUAUUCACUGAUUUAGUAUUGUCAAUCUGUCGUUUGUAUCAGGCUUUCUUGGAGCAUCUAUUCAAAUGUAUAAAAUGUAUCUUUGGGCCAUGAACACUGGUACUUGAAAGCACUUAACUGCCAACAGUUAAUAAAAGCAGUGGGUCAUUGAUUGUUUAUGGAGUCUUUACAAAAUAUUUACUUCAGCUCUCUGAAUACUCAGUAAAUAUGGACUGGCCUUUGCAUGGUAGAGUGACGCUUGCUGAGGCUUGACUAGAAUCCUGUAGGGAGCAUUGGGAAAGAAAUGCAUUUACUGUCAGUGUUUAUACCUGCUAGGCAUUGUGCUAUGUGCCAAGGGCACAAAGACCAGGCCCCUGCAAUCUGGGUUUUGUGUAUGAGAUAAAUAGGUAGAAAAGCUGUGUCUUUGAACCUAUGAUUAUUUUCCUAUAAGAAGUACUUUGAUCCUAAGAGUUUUGAGGUAGACAUUAUUAAAACUAGAAAUUUCUGGCUUGAUGUCUUACUUCCUGUCUACUUCCUUAGUCGGUCUUGCAUGCUGCUGGUCUUAAAAGAUUUUGCAUAACUAAAGCACUGUGUAAGUAUAGGGCAAGGAAAUUGUAAAACAACACUUAUAUCUCUAGUGCUUAAAUAUCCCAGGUUUCUAAAAUACUGAGCCAGUAUAUCAUCCUCAUUACAUCCUAAUGCAAACCGUCUUCUUUAGCCCAGUUGCUUAAUGUAGAAAGUGUCAUGGUGAAAUGAGUGUGGAGUUUCGACAGAACUUAAUUUAAAUCCUAGCUCCCUCUUACUAGCUAGGAGACCAUAGGAAAUUUAUUUAACUUAACUGAGCCUCAAUUUUCCUUAGUUUUUAAAUGUACAUAAUGGUAUAAAUAUGGGGUUGUAGUGAAUGAAACAAUUUCUGUAGUAUUUGGCAGAUAGCAGGAAUUUUUAAGAACGAUGAUCACUGCUUCCUUUCGGUCUAUUUUAGUCGUACCCAUCCUUUAAGGCAGGGCUGUCCAACAGAACUUUCUGUGAUGAUGGAAAUGUUUUAUAUCUGUGCUGUCCGAUGUAGCCAUGAGCUGCAUGUGGUGAGUAGUUACCUAUCGGAUAGUGCAAAGUUAAGUAAGGCCCGGCUCAAGCCCCACCUUUUAUCUUUAUGAAGCCUUUCUUGACCAAUGAUUCUUCUUAACCUUACUGGCUCUCUACCACUUAUUUGGUGCUUGCCAUGGACAGUAAUACUCAUGAAUCCUGUCUUUCCAUCUAGAUUGCAUUUGAGGUUAGGAAGUUUUAAAUCUCCACAUUGCUGCAUGGAAAGGAUUGUGACAAAAGUAUAAUUGUAAUACUGCUUUUGUAAAUUCUAUUUUUAAAUGGUAAGUUUUAAAAGAUCAUUAAAUGUAAUAAAAAUUUUCUAAAGACUUCCUUGUCAGGAAAUAGUCUACACUGAUGAGUUGCAUUUCUUGUCUGUUUUAUCUGGAAGUUCAGAUUAUAUGUAAACUCUAGAAGAAUUAGAGCUUCUUAUAUUGCCAUCUUGUGGCCGAUUUGGGUUCCAGAUGAUGCUAAUUCAAUUUUCUUAUGUCAAGGAAAGGUUUUCUUUAGUUUACUAUGAAAAAGUAUUUCCAAAAGUAAAGGUUGAAUUAGAUUGGCAUUAGCUCGGUCACUGAAGUAUGCUUUGAAAAAUGGACAGUUUUGGAUUCAAUCUCUACUUAAUCUGCAUCUUACAAGUUUUUGGCUCCUUUUCCAUGGCUGUUCUGCUGUGACUUUUCUAACCUUUCAGAAGUUGGUUAAACUCAUUGUACAGUUUUAUCCAAACAUUUAUUUAUUUAUUUAAAGUUCAAUUUUAUUGAAAUAUAUUCAUAUACCAUACAAUCAUCCACUGUGUACCAACUUUUUACGUUUAUACAAAAUUUAGAUGCUCUAAUUUGAUAUUGAGCUUAGGAAUUUGAAGACAUUCUUCAACAGAUGGGUCAUUAAUUUAUAUUGCUGAAUAGAGAUUCAAAUAAAGAAUAACCAGUUACUCUAAUUUUCCUUGAGUCUAGAGGGGUGUAACUUGGUGUGUAGCAUGCUGCUAGGCAUUCAAAUCAUGUCAUCAUAAUCUUUAUGUGUUUUGUACUUUUUUAAUUUUCCGGAGAUGAUGUAGCUCAACAUGAUUCCCAGAUACAAGCUGGUCAUUUGAUACCAGAGAAAUGAAAUUUCAGGAGUCCAAAACUAGAUCUGAGUCUUCUUCACCAGACUGAAACUCUUGGGUGCUGUAAGUCUUGGAUAUACAAUUGAUGACUGCCUUUUUCUUUUAUGCCUGAAAAUAGAUGAUUCUUCACAUUAAAGAUGGAAGCUGACAUUUCUCAUGAGAAGUGGUCUCAUAGAAUCGACUUGCAAAAACGUAAGAGGCACAAAGGAAAGAAUAAAAUACUUUUUCUUCUGUCAUUCUUAAAUCCCUUCCUAGAUUGUAAGCUCCAUGAAAGCAGGAUACCUUUCUUAUCCUUAAUGCCUAACUCAGGUUAAAUAUUCAAAAAAUAUUUGAAGUAAAGUGAUUUGAAUUCUUCCAUUGAUUUUGUUUAAUUCCUGGAGAAUGGCAACCAUUUUAGUUGUGUUUCAGCAAGACAUUUAAUGGAAUAACUGGGACUUAAGCUCUGAUGUAAAAUGUAUAUAUAGAUACAUUAAGCUAUUUGGAUACCCAUGAGUCUACUUAAAACUCUUUAAUAUCUGAUUAUAAGGCUUGAUCCUUCCAAGAGGCAAUGAAGAAUCAUUACCAAAACAACCUGUGUUUGUGAGGAAUAAAUAAAAGUUUACUGGUAAGAGAUCUUUAUUGUGAAAUUUUAUCUAUAAACUUACUGGAUAUUUAAACAAAUACUAAAGUAUCAAAUGAGUUUUAGAGUAGAUGAUGGUAAAAGUUUAAGAUUCAGAGAUAGUAGGAGGGAAAAUUACCUUCUGAAAUUCAGAGAAAUAUGAUACAGAAAUACUCAUAGGGACUUACAGUAUCUACACAAGAGUAUUACUUUAAAAUCAAAUGACAUGGUUUUUUGAAAGGUGAAAGUAACCUGGUAAUUAAAUGGUAUAAGUGAUGUAUGAGAACAAACUGUGCCAUCAUAGUUUAGAAAUGAAAUCAUAUGCUUUUGAAGUCACUUCAUGGAGAAUAUACAAUUCAUGAGCAUUCAUUAGUGUGUGUAAAAACAUUGAACAGCUGAGUCAAACUAUUUCAGAAAUGAAAUGUGACAGGUCUUUAAGUUGCCAGGCUUUUCUCUUGAGAUUCUCAAUUUGGGAAUAAAAACAAGGAGUCCAAAGAGUGAGGAAGUUACUUCUGUGUGUUCAGGUACAGCGCACAACUGCCGCUUGAAACCCAGUGCUUUUUCUCCAUUAUGAUAUCUCUAGGCUGCUUUUGUAAAUAUGUUCUCACAAAAACUUUCUCAUAUCUAUUCUAAGUAGUUUUGCCAUUGAAGUAGGCAGUAACAUCCCCAGGUAUUACUUAAUAGGCAACAAUAACUAUUACAUCUCAUGAAGGACACUAUUUCCAGUAUUUUGUUCCACUUGCCUGUUAAAUAUAACUUGGAAAUGGGACUAGACUACCUUUCCAUCAAGGCUGAAGCUGUUAGAAUGUUUGCUUUCUGAAAUGGUCACUCUUUCCCUUGUGAGUUCUUAUUGCUACCCAGACUCCUUUUAGAAAGAAUGGAUUCAAGGUGUGUGUGUGUGUGUGUGUGUGUAGCAAAACUGUAAAACUAGAAAAACAUAGAAUAUCACAUGGAAGUACGUAGCACAAAAAGGAAAGGUUGAUAAAUUUUUGUACACUAAAAUUUCAAGCUAUGAUUUCCAUACCAUGUAACUGACAAAGGACUCCAUAUAAAUCAAGAAAAUGAGAAAACAAUAUAAUUGGCAGUUUACAGGUAAGGAUCGCUGAGUAGUCAUUCACAUGAAAAGUCACUUAACCUUACUAGUAAUUAAAGAAUUGUGCAUUGAAACAACAUGGAGAUACCAUUUCACUGGCAAUCAGAUGGGCAAAAGUGAAAAAAAAAAAAAACAAACAAAAAACCUGACCACAUGUUGCUGAAUCUGGAGCUUUGG